rnacentral:rRNA from 1 species
CCUACGGGAGGCAGCAGUGGGGAAUAUUGCACAAUGGGGGAAACCCUGAUGCAGCGACGCCGCGUGAGUGAAGAAGGAUUUCGGUAUGUAAAGCUCUAUCAGCAGGGAAGAAGAAAGACGGUACCUUACUAAGAAGCCCCGGCUAACUACGUGCCAGCAGCCGCGGUAAUACGUAGGGGGCAAGCGUUAUCCGGAUUUACUGGGUGUAAAGGGAGCGUAGACGGCUGUGCAAGUCUGAAGUGAAAGCCCAGGGCUCAACCCUGGGACUGCUUUGGAAACUGUGGAGCUAGAGUGCUGGAGAGGUAAGUGGAAUUCCUAGUGUAGCGGUGAAAUGCGUAGAUAUUAGGAGGAACACCAGUGGCGAAGGCGGCUUACUGGACAGUAACUGACGUUGAGGCUCGAAAGCGUGGGGAGUAAACAGGAUUAGAUACCCGGGUAGUC